ACCACUAGGGCGCUGGGUUUCAAGCACAAAACUGGGAUGGCCAUUUGGGCAAACACCAAGCUAGCUGCUGGAAGAAUGAAACAGGUGGUAAGACAAAGAUGC